GCUUGCGGAAGCCGCUCAGCGGUCCAGUUGCCGGGAUGGUGCAAUUGUACAACCUCCACCCAUUCGGGUCGCAGCAGGUGGUACCCUGCCAGCGGGAGCCGGAGCAGUUCUGCUGUGGCGGGCCAGACGCGCUCUUCGUGGCUUCGGGCUGCAAAGUGGAGGCGUUCGCGGUGCAGGGAACAGAGUUGUGCCAACCGCGCUGUUCCUUCUCCACGCUGGGCAGGGUGCUGCGCAUGGCCUACAGUGAAGCCGGAGACUACCUGGUAGCAAUUGAAGAGAAAAGCAAAACUACAUUCCUGCGUGCUUACAUGAACUGGAGGAGUAAGAGAACUGAAAACUCCCGCGUGUGCAUUCGAAUGGUUGGGCACAAUGUGGAGGCACCCUUCUGUGAAAGCUUUAGAGAUCAGAUGUCUAUAAUUGAAAUGCCUUUGUCUGAGGCUCCUUUGUGCAUUUCAUGUUGUCCCGUGAAAGGAGAUCUACUUGUUGGCUGCACCAAUAAGUUAGUCUUAUUUACUUUGAAGUACUGUGUCAUUAAUGAGGAAUUCUCAGUGUUAGACUUCGAACGAUCAUUAAUUAUACACAUAGAUAAUAUCAUUCCUGUUGAAAUUUCUUUUUGUGUUGGUUAUGUUGCUGUCAUGUCUGACUUAGAAGUCUUAAUCCUAAAACUGGAGUCAGACCCUACAAAUGGAGAGAGAGUUAAACACCACCCUCAAAAGACCAACAGCCAACUGAAACAGAUGGAAGAUGCCAGUCAUGAAUCUUCACAGCUUGAAGCAGAGGAUUUUGUUAUCUGCCUAAAACCCAUGGAGCUUCUUGGUGAAAAGUGUGAACAGUCUGGAAUAUCUGUUAAACUGGAGUCCACAGGAUUGGCAGAUGAAAAAGUAAAAUAUUUAAGUGUACAGCACUUACUAUAUAGACGGUUUGCUCCCGAUAUUUCAUUCUAUGUCUUGUCUGAUAACAUCAAGUUACAUUCACUUCAGCUUCUUCCUAUUCACCAAACAGGUUUUCCUCCUGAUGGAAAAGUUUUGUCUCAGGAAAAAGAGCUGCUGAGCCUCUUCUGUUUCUUCUCAUUACCUCAUGUGGGCUAUCUGUACAUGGUUGUGAAAUCUGUUGAGUUAAUGUCAGUCUAUUGGUAUCCUGAGAAGUCUCAGCAAGCAGUACUCACACCACAGUUUUUGCAUGUAAUCACAAGUCAAAGUCUGCAGUGUUUCACAGUGCGGUGCAGCGCAGCAGUGGCUCAUGAGGAAGACCUGUACAUGGAUUCUACGUUGAAGGCUUGCCCACCUGUUAGUUUGGAUGUGUGUGCUCUAAGAAUACAGCUUUUUAUAGGCUUGAAAGCCAUCUGCCAUUUUAAAAACCAUAUCAUACUUCUGACCAAGGCAGACCCUGAAGCCAUUCCAGAGAGAAGAGAGUCACCCAAGAGGCUUCUGUCUAGAAAAGGUGCCAGUGUUAGGAGCAGAAUCCCUCCCAUACCUGAGGCUGGAUGGAGUCUGUAUAUUGUGAAUACCAUUGCACCAGUUCAGCUAUACAAAGAAAUGGUAGACUAUAGUAACACUUAUAAGACUGUGAAAACACAGAGCUGUAUCCACUUGCUCAGUGAGGCUCAUCUGUUAUUGAGAGCUGCCUUGAUGGACAGCAGUCACCUGGAACCUUCAGAGAAAGCAGAGCUUUUAGAAGCCUUUAAGGAAAGCUGUGGGCACCUUGGAGACUGUUACAGCAGGCUUGACACUGAGCAAUCCCACCUCGCCUUGCCGUACUAUAAGAUGUCUGGAUUGUCUCUGGCUGAAGUUUUGGCCCGUGUGGCCUGUACAGGAGAGUGUGAAUCACAGAAAUAUGAGAGAGGAUUAAUAUUUUAUAUUACCCAUUCACUUUAUGAAAACCUGGAUGAAGAAUUAAGUGAAGAAUUAGCAGCAAAAGUGGCUCAGAUAUUUCAUGUGGCUGAGCCGAAGCAACUGCCUCAUGUCCUCUGUAGUCCUUCUAUGAAGAAUAUUGAUCCUUUAACUGCCUUCCAUUAUUUAAAGACGCUAGAUACUUGUGAAUUUUCACCAGUCUUAAUGACCUUGACCAAGGCAGCAGUGGCCUUGAAAAUGGGAGAUCUUGACUUGUACAGAAAUGAAAUGAAGAGCCAUUCAGAGAUGAAGUUGGUAUAUGGCUUCAUUCUGGAACCUCGCCUGUUAAUUCAGCAGUGGAAAGGACAGAUUAUUCCUACUGAACUUGCAAUUCACUUGAAGGAAACUCAGCCUGGAUUGCUUGUAGCUUCAGUCCUGGGCUUACAGAAAAAUGGUAAAAUUGGAAUUGAAGAAGCAGAUUCUUUCUUUAAGGUGCUGUGUGGAAAAGAUGAAGACACAAUACCUCAGCUUUUGGUAGACUUCUGGGAAGCUCAGCUUGUAGCUUGUCUCCCAAAUAUGGUACUUCAGGAACUUUUCUUCAAGCUUACAUCUCAGUACAUCUGGAGGUUGUCUAAGAGGCAGUGUCCUGACACCAUACCAUUGAGAACAGCGGAGGAUUUGAUAAAUGCCUGCAGUCAUUAUGGCUUAGUCUAUCCAUGGGUUCAUGUCUUAUUAUCAUCUGAUUCAUUAGGUGAUAAAAAUUACACAGAAGACCUUUUGAAAUUACAGUCUCUCAUAUGUGGCCCUUCAUUUGAUGUAGCAUCCAUUAUUCCAUUUCUGGAGCCCCUCUCAGAAGAUACUGUUGCUGGCCUCAGUGCUCAUGUUCUAUGUCAUACAAGAUUACAGGAGUAUGAACAAUGCAUAGACACGUUGCUAGAGAGAUGCCCGGAGGCAGUCAUUGCAUAUGCUAAUCAGGAACUGAAGGAAGAACACUGGAUAGAUUCUGUGGUGGAAAAAACUGCUGCCUGAACUUUGUCAGAAAGUCAAGUGUGGUGGAGAGAAACACCAACUUUAUCUGUCAUCUUUAAAAGAAGCCUUGUCAGUCAUUGCUGUGGGACUAGACCUGAAGGAUUUCUUGAAUGUUCUCCCAGAAGAUGGUGCUGCAGCCUUUUUCCUGCCCUACCUUCUUUUUUGCAGCCGGAAGAAAUCACUGACUUGAAGUUAUCAUUUAUAAUAUAUAAGUGACUGUACUUUCAAUGCUCAGUCCUAGAUAAUAUAAUCCCAAAGGGUUUCAUGUUAAUGUGUAUUGCAGCUGUUUUAUGGUGCUUGCUUUCCUUACCAUGUAAUGAUAGCUAUUCACUUAAUCUAUAAGCUGAACCCACUUAUUUGUCUAGAAUGUAAAAAAACCUCAAGAUAGAAAAUCUCUUCACAUGCAUUUCCUUUUAGUUUUAAUUGUUUUUACUCUGUAUCCUAUGUGGGCCUAGAACUCAUUACAAAUCUUGUGCUGACCUCAAUCUAUGCAAAACUCCCAAGUGUCACAGGUGUGAAGUGACAUACAGGCAUUUUCAAAGCUGGACAAAGAGUUCUGUUAUGAAUAAUGUCACGUAUUCAGUGCUGUCUACAACCUGUAGACAGGCAUGACAAUCCUGUCCAUCCUAGAGUUACUGGAAGAAAAUGCAUUGCAAGUAUGCGCAAAUGCCCCUCUUGCUGAUCAAACAUUAUAUUCAUCAUUAGAGAUUUUUUAUUUGUAUUAUUAUUUGCUUUUUUUUUUCAUGUUAUGUAUGAGUAAGAUGUAAUGUUUCACUCUAGUGAAAGACUGCAUACUUGGCUUUUGAGCUACUUUUGAAACUCAUCGUGUGCUUCUCUCAGAAUUAGAUGAAUGUACUUAUUGGACAGUUAACAUGGCUUGUUGAGUGUACAUAUUUUCAGUCAAAGUCUUGUUUCUAUUUUUUAUAUGUAUAUACUCUCAAUCUUUCAACCACAGUAUGUGAGGAAAUAAAAAAAACUAUCACAAUGUUCACAUCUGUCUUUUUAAUAACUUUCUUGUUUGUUGGUUGGUUGGCUUUUUGAGACAAGGUUUCACUGUAUAACAGGCUUGGCUAUCCUAGAACU